UACGUAGGGUCCGAGCGUUGUCCGGAAUUACUGGGCGUAAAGAGCUCGGAGGUGGUUUGCCGCGUUGUUCGUGAAAACUCACAGCUCAACUGUGGGCGUGCGGGCGAUACGGGCAGACUUGAGUACUGCAGGGGAGACUGGAAUUCCUGGUGUAGCGGUGGAAUGCGCAGAUAUCAGGAGGAACACCGGUGGCGAAGGCGGGUCUCUGGGCAGUAACUGACGCUGAGGAGCGAAAGCGUGGGGAGCGAACAGG
rnacentral:rRNA from 1 species